UGAAUAUGAUGUCAUAAUUUUUUCCGCGGGGAGCUUCGUUGCGAAUUGCCGAUGGGGGCUUUGCUUCUCAUGUUGGAUGAAUAUCUGUUCUACACUAUCGAAUGAUUUAGGUUACUCUCGUAAUGGCGGUCGUAAGCCGAUUUCGUCCGUCGGAAUAGCAAGAAGCUAGAAGCCAGGCCGAAGAUGGAGAUGCAAGCCCACCAUACGAACGUCAUCAGGUAACAAUUCUGGCCGAUGCACACUACCGCGUCCCCCAAUGCUGCCGUCUGGUGAGAACUACCGGCGUUUGAAUCGUACGCCACAGCUGCCAGGACGCCGUAAAGGAAUGAGCCGAGAGGGAUGUUAGUGAUGAGGAUGUUGUGGUUGACUCCUGAGCUGUUCGGUCCGAAUAGUUCUGAUGUGAUUGAGACUGAGGCUGAGAAUAUGAAUCCCGAGCUUAGGCCGAUCAAACUAGUGCCGGCUUGUAAUGCGAUUUUGCUGCCUGACGCAGCGAGUAGAACGAAGGCGAUUGGAGUUGGCACCAGUGCAAUGGCUAGCCACCCUGUUCUGGCGAAGUGUCCCUUUCUGCACAGGUACAAAAUCUAAUCAACCUAUGAGCAAUGAGAGGAGUAACCCAUCUACCCAACAACAUCUCAACAGCACCUUCUAAUGGAAAGGGAAAGUUCUAAGUUAUAAACAUUUAAUCAUUCAUGAUAAGUGAAUAUACAUGUAGGCAUGAACCUUUUAUUGUUGCUACAUACUCACGCAUGAAAUCUGGGGCCGCUGAGAUUAACCGCCCAAAGAAGGAGCAAGAAGAGUAGAGUGUUACAAGUGAACUUGUUGAUGAACUGUAUCCAAGCGACUGUGCAAUUUGACCAAGAUUGUUGCUGUAAACCAACCCAAUCGUCCCACCACAAAAGUAUGCAGCAUAAUAGAGCCAAAAGUCCAACUGUCGCAUGAGCAUCUUAGCGGAAUGCUCUUCUUCAAGCACUACCAAGUUCUCUUUCUCCAUCACCUUCCUUGAAAUGCUUUCCUUCUCUUUAGAUUCAAAAGGGAUGAUGUCCAUCAUGCUAUUUCGUUCUGAUCCAAUAGUAAAGAGCUCCUGGUGAAGUUCAUGAUCGGCAAGGCUAAAUCUAGAGUGAAUAAGACAGUUCAAACUGGUGGAUAUGAUCCGAACCAACCACCUGUGUGUACUCAGAAUUCCUGGCAAACAAAGAGGAACUAGUAAAAGGGCAAAAGCCCCUGCUAACAGAAUUUGGGACCCGUAUUUGUUGGAAGGCAUGGAAUUGAAGGUGAUUAAGUACAACCCUGUUAUAACGGCCGUGAUGUAUAAACAGAUGAAGAUGAGGGAGUCAUGACGGAUGGCAUCGGCAGAGGACGGCUGAACCUGUGGCUGAUGAAGCAUUGGGAGGAGGGCAACGACAGAGAUGAUAAGAGGAACCAGUGCAUUUAGGAAGAGGUACAAGCUGGCAUCACCGGGGUCUAUUGCAUUGGCAAUUAGGGUGUAUAGAGCUGCACUGACGCCAUUGAAGCUGACAAUCAAGGACAGCGCAAGCGCACGGUUGGCUGGAAAAUUUUGGAUGCAUGAGACAUAGCAGACCGUGUUGAACCAGCAAAUACUACAUCCAGCCAUCAGGCAGAGAAGAUAAACCUGACAAUAAGAAAUGCUUGUCACCGAGCAGGGGAAUAAGAGAUAAAAAUGAAAACCAACCACAGAGUAAGGCAGAGAGAUAAUCCUUUGAAGGAGAAGCCAUUGAAGGCCAUAGCCAAGAAACCCCAUGGAAGCAGCCAUGAACAUCACAACCCACAAAGGAAAAUACAAGAGAGCAACACCAGAGCACCACCCAAAGGCCUUACCAAGGUCCGAAGCCACCGCCAGAUAAUUGAGCUCCACCUGCGACAUCCCGAGAGCAGCCUUCAGAUCGGAAGAAUAAGAAGGGAAAUCAAAAUUUGUGCCAGCAAAUGCCUGAAUCCAUAUCGCCGCCACAAGCACCACCCAUUUUCCUGGUUGGUUCAUCAUCCUUUUCUGUUUUUUGAAUGGAAGAAGGGGAAUUUGUUGAGUUUUUCUAUGCUUUAUUUUCAUGGCGGUAGCCUGAGGAGAAUAAUGAUUGAAGAAAAAGCGCAGGGGGAAUGGUUGGGUCGGUAGGACAUCCCUCGAGGGUGGGUAAGAAAAUCGUUGGAUCCAACCAUGGUUGAUGACUCAUGUUACCAAACUUGUCCUUUCCUUUCAAUGCAUAACUUCCAAUAUGCCAAAAUUAGGUAGCGUAAACAUAAUCUAAUCAGAUUUUGUUUAUGUUAUUGUUAUUUGUUAACAACUAUUUGGGCAGUUAUCGAAAUUUAUCUUCAAAUCGUUACCAGUGAUUCAAUUU